ACCAUGUCUCUGUCGGCCCUUCCCACUUCCCAGGCCAUACUUGUCCCUCCAGCUGCUCGCAGUCGGAAGCGGAGACGCUUCGCAUUCUCGCCAUCUCCUAAUGAGGGAUCCAAAUUCUCCUUUCCCUGCCGAAUGUGGAAGAUACCAUCUUUAUUUGUCGUUUGCUUGUUCCUGGGCAUGCUGGUGCCUUGCAUACUUGAAGAUUAAAGGACUUGACAAGAUCACUGGCCAUAUGGUAGUCAAAUCGAAGUGGGGAAGAACAAAAGAUGGUGACACAAUUAUCGGAUGGGUUUUCCCUGCUUCCAGUGCUGGAGAACCUGAAGCAGAGCCUGACCCUAUAAAUGGAGCAGGAGGUGUGAGGGACUUUAUGACAUAGCAAGUCCAAUCCACUCUGGAAAAUAUUCAGUUCCUGUAUGUGACAUUUCUGUGAAGUGUUGCUCUAUUUCCGUUAGUGCUAUAUGUGUUUUAAGAUUGCAAGUUGCCAAAGCUCUCAACAGAUGUAUUGCGCAUUAUGAUAGCUUCUAUGGGAUAAGAAGCUGAAGACAAUCGUGAACAGUGAGAGCUCAGAGAUCAUUCGCAUGCUUAAUUCUGAGUUCAAUGGUUUAGCUUAGAUUCCCUAUCUUGACCUUUAUCCUCCUCACUUGCGAGCCCAGAUAGACGAAGUUAAUGGAUGGAUAUACAACUGCAUAAACAGUGAUGUUUAUAAGUGUGGAUUUGCUGAGCAGCAGGCGCCUUACAAAGAGGUACUAUCAUCACUACUGUGAAUUGUCACUAAUGUUAUAUGUAAAAAAUAGCAACUCUUAUGCUGUUAAAUUGUUCUCAUUACAGUGGUAGAACAUCCCUCUUCUUUGACGUAGACAACAUAUAGACUAGCAAAUGACAUCAUGGACAUACUUCCCCUCCUCUUCUGAUGACAUCCAUAGGAACUUUGUAUAUGUUCUGUGACAGAGUGAUAAUGUGAAAUGAAUGAGGUGCAAAACAACUUGCUGAAGGUAAUUCUCAGACAGCUACUUGAAAAAUGUUAUAAAUGGUGGUAAACGUUGCAUCAGACAAUUGCUUCAUCCUAUGAUUCCUAUCUGCCCUAAUUGAUGAAUGGAGUCGCAGAUGGUCUGUUCAAUUUUUCUGGGACCCAAAUGAGGCUACCCCUUUUACCCCAUACUUUAUACUCUAGUUAUGGAUAUAUUGAGCAAAAUGCCAUGCUAAUCCGGGUAGGCUACAAAGAUUAAUUGUUGGAAUGGGUUUGUGUAUCUAAUUAUUCCAUGUUACAGUGAUCUUAUCAACUUUUGUUGAUAACAAAGUGAUCCUAAGCACCUGAGACGUCAUCGAUGUGUUGUAUAGAUCAGCUUUUCUUGCUCAGAGGCAUAUUUGGGGCUUAAAGUCAACCUUGCUGAAGAUGAACUUAUCUCUAUGAGGGACCGCAUGGGUGAUCAGAUUCUUAAUGCUUAAUUGAUCGAGCGCCAAGGGUGGUAAACUUUAAACAAUCUCUUGCGAGAGAGGGAUUCUAACACCUCUCAGGCAUUGAAAAGGUCUUGGGUAGUACAACUAAACCAAAAUUCCAAGUAAAAAUCAAGCAUCCUAAUCAUUACAAAAUUUGACCCAAAAAAAAAA